rnacentral:lncRNA from 1 species
CUAGAGCUGAGCUCAGACCCAGGGUGAUUCUGUUUAUACCAGGGAUUAUCUACCUUCAGUUUUUGGUUUCCAAAAUAGGUAGGUGGAGGCUUCCUUCUUACCUACCCAUGGGCCAAAAUGUUUAGAUGGCUUGAGGCCCCGUAGAACAGAAGGGAGUAAUGAUAGAUUUCUGUUAUUCAGGCAUCUACAUAGGCUUGGGUCAGUAGUUCUCAAAGUACAGUCCUCAGACCAGCAGCAUCAGCAUCAGCAUCAGCAUCAGCAUCAUCCAGGGACUUGCUAGGAAUACAAUUUCUAAGGUUCCAAUCCAGAACCUUGGAAUUAGAAAUUCUGGAGGUGGGAUCUGUGUUUUAACAAGCCCUCCAGGUGAUUCUAAUGCAGCCUCAAGAUUGAGACCCUUUGAUUUAGGUUUCUCAGAGGAAUAAUAGGAUUUCUUCCCCUGCUCAACCACCGUUCCCAAAUAUUUCAUGACUGGCUCUUAGGAAUAGGAUGAUUUGAACAAAAAAAGAAGGACAAGUUUCUAAAUGCAGAGGUAAAUCUAAGGGAAUCGGGGUUACAGAAACAUGAGACUUUGGAUGCCUAAGCUUUUUUAUGAUGUAAGUCUUAAGGUCACAUAAUCUACUAGUUUUUUUUUCAAUUAUUUGCAUAAUGAAAUCUACCAGCAACUGUCCCAGCGGACGUGAUAGCCAUCUUGCAUGUUCAAUGAUGUGUGGUUCGCUAACCUCAAAUUUGAAAUAAAGCAAACAAAAGUAGAAGAAAUCUGGGAAAUAGCAAGUUGUAGAAAGCAAGAUUCCAGAAUAAAAUGGACUCUAACUUUGUACAUCAAAUGCUGCCUCCAGGUGUGUCUAAUAUUAAACAUCUUAUUCUGGAAGGAUGUAAGUGAGAAACCUGCAAGGAGUUCUGUGAGAGGCCCUGUUGUCUUCUUCGUUUAAGAAGACAAGUCAUCAUAUCUCUUACGCUGACUGCAGCUGUCUCCUUUUAGAGACAGUCUUGGAAAGAAAACUGCUAAUCUAGAAUAGAUACACUUCU